rnacentral:rRNA from 1 species
GAUGAACGCUAGCUACAGGCUUAACACAUGCAAGUCGAGGGACCGGCGCACGGGUGAGUAACACGUAUCCAACCUGCCCUUUACUCGGGGAUAGCCUUUCGAAAGAACGAUUAAUACCCGAUAUAAAGGAUGGGGAUGCGUUCCAUUAGGUUGUUGGUGAGGUAACGGCUAGCCAAGCCUUCGCUGGAUAGGGGUUCUGAGAGGAAGGUCCACCACAACUGAGCUGAGGCACAGUCCAAACUCCUACGGGAUGCAGCAGUGAGGAAUAUUGGUCAAUGGGGGCUAGCCUGAACCAGCCAAGUAGAGUGAAGAAUGAAUGCUUAUGGGUCGUAAACUUCUUGUAUAUAAGAAGAUGUAUUAUAUGAAUAAGGAUCGGCUAACUCCGUGCCAGCAGCCGCGGUAAUAC